GAUGAACGCUAGCUACAGGCUUAACACAUGCAAGUCGAGGGGAAACGACAUCGAAAGCUUGCUUUUGAUGGGCGUCGACCGGCGCACGGGUGAGUAACGCGUAUCCAACCUGCCCAUCACUUGGGGAUAACCUUGCGAAAGUAAGACUAAUACCCAAUGAUAUCUCUAGAAGACAUCUGAAAGAGAUUAAAGAUUUAUCGGUGAUGGAUGGGGAUGCGUCUGAUUAGCUUGUUGGCGGGGUAACGGCCCACCAAGGCAACGAUCAGUAGGGGUUCUGAGAGGAAGGUCCCCCACAUUGGAACUGAGACACGGUCCAAACUCCUACGGGAGGCAGCAGUGAGGAAUAUUGAUCAAUGGGCGAGAGCCUGAACCAGCCAAGUAGCGUGCAGGAAGACGACCCUAUGGGUUGUAAACUGCUUUUAUAAGGGAAUAAAGUGAGAGUCGUGACUCUUUUUGUAUGUACCUUAUGAAUAAGGACCGGCUAAUUCCGUG
rnacentral:rRNA from 1 species